rnacentral:pre_miRNA from 1 species
UUAGCUCAAUUUUGUAUGAAGUGGGAUCGUUUGCCUACGUUGGCCGCUAGGGGCACUGUUCUAACUGCAUACAAUCGUUA